UGGGGGAUAUUGCACAAUGGGCGAAAGCCUGAUGCAGCGACGCCGCGUGGGGGAUGAAGGCUUUCGGGUUGUAAACCUCUUUCGCUAUCGAACAAGGCCCGCUUAGGGUGGGUUGAGGGUAGCUGGAGAAGAAGCGCCGGCUAACUACGUGCCAGCAGCCGCGGUAAUACGUAGGGCGCGAGCGUUGUCCGGAAUUAUUGGGCGUAAAGGGCUUGUAGGCGGCUUGUUGCGCCUGCUGUGAAAACGCGGGGCUUAACUUCGCGCGUGCAGUGGGUACGGGCAGGCUUGAGUGUGGUAGGGGUGACUGGAAUUCCAGGUGUAGCGGUGGAAUGCGCAGAUAUCUGGAGGAACACCGAUGGCGAAGGCAGGUCACUGGGCCAUUACUGACGCUGAGGAGCGAAAGCAUGGGUAGCGAACAGG
rnacentral:rRNA from 1 species